AUUGAACGCUGGCGGCAGGCCUAACACAUGCAAGUCGAGCGAGCGGCGGACGGGUGAGUAAUGUAUGGGGAUCUGCCUGAUAGAGGGGGAUAACUACUGGAAACGGUAGCUAAUACCGCAUACCAUCAGAUGACCCCAGAGGGGAUUAGCUGGUAGGUGAGGUAACGGCUUACCUAGGCGACGAUCACUAGCUGGUCUGAGAGGAUGAUCAGCCACACUGGGACUGAGACACGGCCCAGACUCCUACGGGAGGCAGCAGUGGGGAAUAGUGCACAAUGGGCGCAAGCCUGAUGCAGCCAGGCCGCGUGUAUGAAGAAGGCCUUCGGGUUGUAAAGUACUUUCAGUCGGGAGGCGUUACCGACAGAAGAAGCACCGGCUAACUCCGUGCCAGCAGCCGCGGUAAUUC
rnacentral:rRNA from 1 species